AUCAAAAGGCUGAUCAUCAUUCCUGGGCCAAACCAUCUGUCACAUUUGGCAUCAAGACUAUCCAGUGAUCUGGAAGCAAAUGUAAAAUCACUGCAGAGAAAAUUCGUGGAUGAAUCAAAGAUUGGCUGAAUGGUAAAUAAUGAUGAGGACAAGGAAGCAAUAUUGUCACUGAAAACAUGAGGCCUGAACACGUGCUUUGCCUGUUGCUGAGCUGCUUUCCGCUACCCAAAGCGGCCUGUAAGCCCUUGAAAGCCGACUGCACUCUUGUCAAAUGUAGCCCAUGCCCUGACCAACACACAGCGGUGCCUUCGGAGAAUAACUGCUGUGCUACAUGUGCCCCUCCAUGUUCCUGUCCAGAUUACCAGCAAUUGGAAUGCGCCAUGCAAGGCUACGAGGAUGGAAACGUCCCUGUGGGGAAAUCUUUCCACAUAAACUUUGCCACUGAACUUUGCACCUGUGUUUCUACAGGGAAUAUCUCCUGCACUUCAGUUUGCCCCACGGUUUCACCUACGUGCAAGGAGACCGGAAGCCCUCCUGAUGGCUGUCCCCAGUGCGUAUGUCCCAUUGACAAUGACAGAAUCGUAGUUGCUGGCAGCACCAUCCCCAGGGACAGUGAGAUUUGUGUAUGUCCCCCUGAGGGAGGCAAACUAUUCUGCACCUCAACCACACCUUAGCUCACUACAGUCUACCAAUGAAUAGGCUCUGUUCUCCAAGUAAGCUAAGUAUUGCAGGAGGGCAAAGCGUUUUGUUAUUAGACUAUAAGAGAACUCCCAUUGUAUCUUUGGGCACCCUUAUGGAAAAUCCUAUAGAAUGUACAAGAAAAUAAUUAUCUUGCUAUAGGUGUUUCAAACUCUCCUAUAAAAUGGAAUAGUGAAGUAU